CGCUCGGGCGGUAACGCCAUUCUGCGCGCUCCGCUGCAGGCUGACUUCCCUGAGGCGGUUUUGGAGACUGGACGUCCGGUUCCUGAGCCCAGUUGUAGCCCAGCGCAGACGAGGCUCGUUCCGACCGGGUCCCGGCGCCAUGGGGGCGGAGAAAAUGCUGCUGCCGGCUAAGGAGGCAUUGCGGCUGCCGUGGCAGCCGCAGUACAACCAAGCGAAGCUGCUGGUGGCGCUGAGCCGCGUCUACCGCUCGAUUUUGUUUAUUUAUCUGAGAGAGAGAGAACGAGUCCGAGGAAGAUUAGAGGGGGAGAGAGAAGCACACUCCCCACCAAGCAGGGAUCCCAGGACCCCUGACUCAGGACCUGAGCUGAAGAAGGACUGAGGCAAAUAGCAAUGAAGUUCAGUGUUUAGUGCACCAGAUUCUAAAUAAGUUCUUGGGAAAUAUGCUGGAAAAAGGCCAGAUUGAUGAUGUUUUGUGCAUAAAAUGGAUGAAGGUCUUAUUAGACUAAAAGAUAAAAUUCCAUAUGUGAUGAUACAGGCAAUCCUGGCUCUUUCAAGGCUUAAGACCUAUGGGUAAUGAUUGCCCCAUGGUUAAAGAUAGUGCUGCUUCAUAGUUCUUGUUUGGUUUUGUGUGUAGUAAACUUUUCCUUAUUAAAUAUAUAAUGAGAAUGGAGAGUGUGUGAUACAUACACACACCUCAUUUAAAGAUAACAUUAUUUCAGUAGCAUCCAUUGAUACCAAAUGGAUAUGCUAUAAUUUACCCAGAAUUAGGGCAGACCCACAGGUCAACCAAGGGCUCAGUCGCACAAGAUUGCCCCUACUUCAGACACCAGCCACAAGUCUCAGGUAUCCCCAAAUUACUUGCACUUAUACUUAACUAACUACAAAUUUUGGAGAUUCCUGUGACUGCCACACCCCCCCCUCAAGGUAUGAAAAUUCCAGGAAUGAUUGACAGAAUUCAAGUAAGUGCUGUACUUACUAUUAGAGCGAGUUUGUUGUAAAGAAUACAGCUGAAACAGCCAAAUGGAAAAGAUGCAUACGACAAAGUAUGGGGGACAGAGAGUGCAGAGCUUCCAUGACCUGUGUGGGUAUCCCACCUUCCCAGGACAUUGAUGUGUUCACCAACCUGGGAAGCUUGAGCCUAGUUGUUUCAGGAUUUUUUUUAUGAGAUUGCACUGAGUAGGUAUGUUUGAUUAAAUCAUUGGCUUCUUUGAACUCAAUCUCUAGUUCCUCUGAAAAUUCCAUCCUUGUAAUCACCUAAUUGGCUUUUCAGGUGACUAGUUUCCAUCCUAAAGUUAUCUAGGGACCUUUCACCCCCACCUUGAGUCACCUCAUUGCUAUAAAUUACCAUAAAGUUGAAAGGGAUUCCAGAAUAACAAGACAUUCGUAUCACUCAGGACUUGCUGAGGCUUUUUGAGCUCUGAACCAGGGAUAAAGAUCAAAUACAUUUUUUAUUAUGCCAUAAAAGAAUAUACCCACUAUCUAAGUUGAGAAAUGGAAUGCUGAGAUAACUUUUUAAGGGUCUUGUGGCUUUCUCUAAAUGUAUUUCCCCUUCCUUUCCAGAGGAAAACACUAUCCUAAAUGUUAACCAUUACCUUGCUUUUCUUUAGAGUUUACUUUAUUAGACUUUUAAGGCUACCUAGACGUAUCCCAAAAAUAUGUACUGUAUCUUUGCGUUUUUUCACCUUAAUAUAAUAGAGUUACAUUACAUAUACACUUUGAUUACUAUUUUUUCCAUGUAGUACUGUUUCUAAGAAUCUAAAAUCCAAAUUUAUUGAUGUAGCUGUAGUCCAUUCCUUUUCACUACUAGACAGUAUUUUGUUUUAGAAGUAUAACAACUUGAUUUAUCCAGUCUCUUGUGUACUAUUAGGAACUAAACUUCUAUCAGCAUUCCCAAACAUGUGGAAGCAUUUCUCUGGCUAAUAAUGCCUAGAGGCAGUAUUACAGACUGAAUUGUGUGUCCCCAAAAUUCGUAUGUUGAAGCCCUUACUCCCAGUAAAUGCCUCAGAAUGUGACUGUAUGUGGAGAUCAGGUCUUUAAAGAGGCAAUUAAGUUAAAAUAUGGCCUUUGAAAGGUAGCCCUCAUCCAACCUGAUGUGUUUUAUAAGAAAAAGAAAUUAGAACAUACAGAGAAAACACGGGAUGUGUGCACUGCCAGAAAAGAGGCCUCGAGGGAUCCCUGGGUGGCGCAGCGGUUUGGUGCCUGCCUUUGGCCCAGGGCGCGAUCCUGGAGAUCCGGGAUCGAAUCCCACAUCGGACUUCCGGUGCCUGGAGCCUGCUUCUCCCUCUGCCUGUGUCUCUGCCUCUCUCUCUCUCUUUGUGACUAUCAUAAAAAUUAAAAAAAAAAAAAAAAGAAUUUGUUAAAAAAAAAAAAAAAGAGGGCUCCUGAACCCAAACCUGCUGACACUUUGAUCUUUGGACUCAGAGCUUCUAAAACCAAGAAAAUAAAUUACUGUUGUUUAAGCCACCUAGUCUAUACUAUUUUUGUUAUGGUAACCCUAGUAAACUAAUACAGUUAGAAUUGUUAAAUGGUAGGAUUAUGUACAUGUUCAGCUUAAUUAGUGAUCCUGAUAUAUUUUUUAAAGUAAUGGGAUUAAUUUGCAGUCCUACUAGCAGUGUCCUGAGAAUUCUUGUUCUACAUUCUUGGCCAAACCUGGUAUUGUCAGACUUUACUUUUUCGAGUCUGGUAGGGGAAAAAAUGAAAACUGUCAUUUUAAUUGCAUUUUCCUGACAACUAAGAGUUGAAUAUCUUCAUAGGUUUCUUGUUUCUUUAUCAAUAAAAUGUCUUUAAAUUUG